UACGAAGGGGGCGAGCGUUGUUCGGAUUUACUGGGCGUAAAGGGCGCGCAGGCGGUCUUGAAAGUCAGGCGUGAAAGCCCCGGGCUUAACCUGGGAAUUGCGCUUGAUACUCUGAGACUGGAGUACGGGAGAGGAGAGUGGAAUUCCCAGUGUAGAGGUGAAAUUCGUAGAUAUUGGGAAGAACACCGGUGGCGAAGGCGGCUCUCUGGACCGUAACUGACGCUGAGGCGCGAAAGCGUGGGGAGCAAACAGG
rnacentral:rRNA from 1 species